AUAUGUGCGUGUAUAUUUGUGUGUGUUUAUCGGUAUGUCUCAAUGUAAUCUGUGUGGACAUGCAGGUGUGGGUAUAUGUAUGUGUAUUCAUAUGAUUACAGGCAUCUGUGUGUGUGUGUAUGUUUCUAUGUGUUGUGCAUCUGCCUGUGAAGGGGGUUAGGGACAGACAGGCACAAAUCAGCUGACACACAGGAGUUCCCAGGCUAGAAAGGCAGAGACAGAAUGAGAGGGAGUAGAGGAUGUCAGGACCCAGGAGGAAUGGGAGGAGAGAGAAAGCUAGAGUUGAGACUGUGGGCGGUUCAAAAAAGGAAAGGACUUGAGGGCUUUGGGCGGGGGCUGGAGUGUAGGACCGGAGGGCAGGGUUUCCAGGCUCCAGCUGGGACCAGGCUGAGAAGGGCAGGGCUGCUCUGCGGUGCGGGGUCGGGGUGUCUGGGUGGGGAGGAAGACCUGCAGGAGAGAGAAUGUCCACCCGGGGGCGCCAAACGUCCUUCCACAGAGUUCGCCAGACGCUGAGACCCGUGAGUGGAUGAAACCGACUCACCCUAGCGGAGGCUGAAAAGGAGCCAGAGCCGAGGAAGGAGAGGGGAUCGAGGACAGAAGAAUCCAGAACACGAGAUGGGGGAGGGGAGGAAAUGGAGGACGAGUGAGACCGUGGUGAGCAGAGCAGCAAGAAUCUAGCAACUGGAGAGGGCAGGGCGGUAGAAUCAAGGAUGGGGCAGGCCUAGGAGUGUGCAGAGCCCAGAAAGGUCUAGAAAAGCCGGGGAGAGGAGACGAAUUUAGGGGGCCGGGGAUGAACACAUUCUGCCCUGACGGACGGGAGGGGAAAGUCGGGGUGAGGAGUAACUCGGCGGCGGGAAGUGGGGGGCUGCGGGGGCCUUCUUGCGCAGUUUCCGUUCUUGAGGAAAAAGAGGCCCGAGUCGCCCCCAGCGCUGCUGGAGCCGCCAGCCUCCCGGCCGCCUUGGGCAGCUCAGGGCUUGUGGGAUCCACACCGGCCGCGCGCUUCCCCUUCGGCGCGGUCCUUCCACUCCGAGGGCGCCUCCGCGGCGCAGAGCUUCUCCUUCCCCCUGUUCACCCCUCUGUUCUGUCCCUUGAAGACCGGCGCCCGGGCCCUGUGCCCCGCGACUCCUCUCAAGGUCCCCAGGGCCCCGCCGGCCCUUCUCCCUCAGGUCGGGAAGCGGCCUCCCAGCCCCGCGCCCGGCGCUGCCCUGCUCGCCACACGGACCCCUCCUCAGGGCUCCCCGCCGGAGUCUCCCCUUUGAAGCCUCUCCGGCCCUCGGCCCUCCUGCCUCCUGGCCCCUGCAGGCCCGGCCCUCGGCCUGCGGGACCCUCAGCCCAGCAGGAGAACAAGGUCAGCACACGACCAGGCAGGAGGCCACAGCUACCAUUUCUCCAGGGUCAGCUGUAUUGUCAGAAAGGCAGAUAGACUUGGACUGAUUUGAACCUGGAGAGACAUCACUAACAAGAUGAUAACAGUGUUCAGGAGACAAGGAUUACCAGCUUGCCUUCCUGUAUUGGUUCCUCCACUGCAGGAAGCAGGACAAAAUAUAGAAACCGAAUUUUUGCUGUUACCGGCAACGCCCAAAUGUUCCCUUCUCGCCUGUGUGCCUGUUCAGUCAUUCUUUGUGACCCUUUGCACUGUGGCCCCCCGGGCUCCAAUGUCCAUGGGGUUUCCCAGCAAAAAUACUGGAGUGGCCUGCCAUUUCCUACGCCAGCGGAUCUUACGCAUCCGGAGACCAGGCUCCAGUCCCCGGCAUAUCCUGCGCUGCAGGCGUCUUCUUUACCGCUCAGCCACCCUGACAACGUGUACGCUUCACCCUAAAGAAAUAAAGGGCAUCUGAACUCUCACGUGGCCUCCCGCCUGUUUCUGUGCUGACUUCCUUCUCCUGGAGGGCGGAGACGCCAGGCAGGGGGCAGACCAGGGAAGGGCCGGAUGGUAACCAAGCAGGACCCACUGAGGCUUUCCCAGAAGAAACCCCCAGUCAAGUCCUCCACCAGCCUUUUGUCUGUAGAAAAUCUUUCACCAAAUAAUCCAUGUAGGGGCUUCCCUGGUGGUCUGCUGGCUAAGGCUCCACCAGUCAAAUUCAUGGGCUGAAGGUAGGACCCAGGUCGGGGAACAAAGAUCCCUCAUGCCUUCUGGCGAGGUUGAGGGGAAAUCUGGCCCCAGUACACAGAGGCCCCAGUUUGGCAAGGAGGUCUGGAGGGAAGCCAGGAGCAAUUGGAAGGACAGGGUCGUGGGGGCAGGAGGGCUGAGGGACCUGAGUCCCAGCAGGCUGGAAGGCUAAGAGGUGCCAAAGGACACAUUCCAGAGGGGAGCCCUGAGGCGGCGGCCUGUGCACAGCAGGGCUGCCGAGCUCAGCGGAGGGGCCGGAGGAACCUGGGCGGCCCCGAGACGAGGCGGGGGCACAGGUCCUGGGCGCCCAUCUUCAAGGGACAGAAUAGGGUCAGAACAGAGCCAAGGAGAAGCUCUGCGCCACGGUGGAGCCCCCGGAGUGUAAGGACCGCCCCGGAGGGGAAGCGUGUGGACGGCGGUGGGUGUGGACGCCAAGCAGCUCCGUGCUUCCCAAGACGGGGCCCGGGAGGCUGGCGGUUCCACCAGCGCUGGAUGCCCCGGAGGCCUCUCUUUGCCUCGAGGAGGGAAACUGGGAAUGCAGCCCUGUCCCUCCCCUAUCAGAGUUAUUCCUCACCCUGACUUUGCCCUCCCAUCCCUCAGGGCAGUGCCCCUCUCUUCACCCCUGCCCCCUAAACUCAUCCCCCCAUCCCCGGCUUUUCUAGAUUCUGGGCUCUGCACACUCCUAGGCCUGCCCCAUCCUCGAUUCUCUGCCCCUCCCCGCUCUCCAGGUUCUAGAUUUCAGACAGGCUGGGACCUGGGCUGCAGUGCUUCCAUGUGGACACACAUCUUCUUGAGACACAGACAACAAGGAAACGACAAGGGACUAAAUGUAACACUACGGACAUGAACAGCUAGGGCAAAUGAUGCACGAGAUAAAAAAAGAAAAAAGAUCCAAACUCCAGUCACCCCUUCGGAGCUGGAGAACAAAGGCGGGGGUCCUGGUCGCGAUGCCUGCACAGAGCACCACCAAGGGGCUGGGCAGACCUCGCAUGCAGCCCUCCAGCCCAGCGCUGGACCCAGCCGGCCCUCACCCCAUUUAAUGGCCCAGAUUUCCCCACAUGCGCCCCGACACCCCCUCACCCCACAGGAGCAAACAAGGCAACUUGUCACUUGUUUGACUCCCUUCCUGAUGCACCCAGAGCUCCAAUAAAACCUUGUCUGAGUUUCC